rnacentral:rRNA from 1 species
AGUGAACGCUGGCGGUAGGCCUAACACAUGCAAGUCGAACGGCAGCACAGUAAGAGCUUGCUCUUACGGGUGGCGAGUGGCGGACGGGUGAGGAAUACAUCGGAAUCUACUUUUUCGUGGGGGAUAACGUAGGGAAACUUACGCUAAUACCGCAUACGACCUACGGGUGAAAGCAGGGGAUCUUCGGACCUUGCGCGAUUGAAUGAGCCGAUGUCGGAUUAGCUAGUUGGCGGGGUAAAGGCCCACCAAGGCGACGAUCCGUAGCUGGUCUGAGAGGAUGAUCAGCCACACUGGUACUGAGACACGGUCCAGACUCCUACGGGAGGCAGCAGUGGGGAAUAUUGGACAAUGGGCGCAAGCCUGAUCCAGCCAUACCGCGUGGGUGAAGAAGGCCUUCGGGUUGUAAAGCCCUUUUGUUCGGAAAGAAAAGCAGCAGGUUAAUACCCCGCUGUUCUGACGGUACCCAAAGAAUAAGCACCGGCUAACUUCGUG